rnacentral:rRNA from 1 species
UGGGGAAUAUUGCACAAUGGGCGGAAGUUUGAUGCAGCGACGCCGCGUGGAGGGUGUAGGCCUUCGGGUUGUGAACUCCUUUUUCUCGCGAAAAAGGCACAGUUUUGGCUGUGUUGAUGGUAGUGGGGGAAGAAGCGCCGGCUAACUACGUGCCAGCAGCCGCGGUAAUACGUAGGGCGCGAGCGUUGUCCGGAUUUAUUGGGCGUAAAGAGCUCGUAGGUGGUUCGUCGCGUCUGUCGUGAAAGCCAGCAGCUUAACUGUUGGUCUGCGGUGGGUACGGGCGGGCUUGAGUGCGGUAGGGGUGACUGGAAUUCCUGGUGUAGCGGUGGAAUGCGCAGAUAUCAGGAGGAACACCGAUGGCGAAGGCAGGUCACUGGGCCGUUACUGACACUGAGGAGCGAAAGCGUGGGGAGCGAACAGG